rnacentral:rRNA from 1 species
UACCUGCGGAGGGAUCAUUACCGAGUUUACAACUCCCAAACCCAAUGUGAACGUUACCAAACUGUUGCCUCGGCGGGGUCACGCCCCGGGUGCGUCGCAGCCCCGGAACCAGGCGCCCGCCGGAGGAACCAACCAAACUCUUUCUGUAGUCCCCUCGCGGACGUAUUUCUUACAGCUCUGAGCAAAAAUUCAAAAUGAAUCAAAACUUUCAACAACGGAUCUCUUGGUUCUGGCAUCGAUGAAGAACGCAGCGAAAUGCGAUAAGUAAUGUGAAUUGCAGAAUUCAGUGAAUCAUCGAAUCUUUGAACGCACAUUGCGCCCGCCAGUAUUCUGGCGGGCAUGCCUGUCCGAGCGUCAUUUCAACCCUCGAACCCCUCCGGGGGAUCGGCGUUGGGGAUCGGGACCCCUCACACGGGUGCCGGCCCCUAAAUACAGUGGCGGUCUCGCCGCAGCCUCUCCUGCGCAGUAGUUUGCACAACUCGCACCGGGAGCGCGGCGCGUCCACGUCCGUAAAACACCCAACUUUCUGAAAUGUUGACCUCGGAUCAGGUAGGAAUACCCGCUGAACUUAAGCAUAUCAAUAAG